rnacentral:rRNA from 1 species
GACGAACGCUGGCGGCGUGCUUAACACAUGCAAGUCGAACGGAAAGGCCCCUUCGGGGGUACUCGAGUGGCGAACAGGUGAGUAACACGUGAGUAACCUGCCCUUGACUUCGGGAUAACUUCAGGAAACUGGGGCUAAUACCGGAUAGGAAUCCUUGCUGCAUGGUGGGGGGUGGAAAGCUUCGGGGGUUUUGGAUGGACUCGCGGCGUAUCAGCUUGUUUGUGGGGUAGUGGCUUACCAAGGCUUUUAAGGGUAGGCGGCCUGAGAGGGCGACCGGCCACAUUUGGGAUGGGAAUCCGGCCCGACUCCUACGGGAGGGAGGCGGGGGGAAAAUUUGCAAAUGGGGGGGAGCCCUAUUGCAGAACGCCGGGGUGGGGAAGACCGGCUUUGGGUUGUAAACCGCUUUCAGCAGGGGCGAAGCUUGUGGUGACGGUACCUGCAGAAGAAGCACCGGCUAACUACGUG